rnacentral:lncRNA from 1 species
AUGACUCCCACAAACAAUAAUGGUGAGAAGAAGAGCUAUUUUGCCUUUAACAAGGUGGUGACCCAAGAAUACAUCAUCAACAUUUACAAGGGCAUCCAGGGAGUGGGCUUUAAGAAGUGUGCCCCUUGAGCACUCAAAGAAAUUUGCCAUAAAGGAGAAAGUACUCCAGAUGUGUGCAUUGAUGCCAGGCUCAACAAAACUGUCUGAGCCAAAGGAAUAAAGAAUGUUCCAUACUGUAACCAUGUGCAGUUGUCCAGAAAAUGCAGUCAGAAUGAAGAUUCACCAAACAAACUCAUGCACUGGUUACCUGCGUACCAGUCAUCACCUUAAAAUUCUACAGUCAGUGUGGGUGAGAUCUAA